rnacentral:misc_RNA from 1 species
AUUGAAAAUUUGUUUUUUUUCCACAAAAAAAAAACAUACUUUCUAUGUUUAAUUUUACCUCAUGUUGCUUUCUUUUUUAAAGAAGAAAUUCCUUAAAAAAGGGUAGCCUAAAAUUAUUAAAUUCUUAAUUAAAAAAUCAUGUCUGAUAAAUUAAUUUUAUAAUUAAAUUA